CCUACGGGUGGCAGCAGUGGGGAAUAUUGCACAAUGGGGGGAACCUUGAUGCAGCAACGCCGCGUGGGUGAAGAAGUACUCCGGUAUGUAAAGCCCUGUCAGCAGGGAAGAAAAUGACGGUACCUGACCAAGAAGCCCCGGCUAACUACGUGCCAGCAGCCGCGGUAAUACGUAGGGGGCAAGCGUUAUCCGGAUUUACUGGGUGGAAAGGGAGCGUAGACGGCAAGGCAAGUCUGGAGUGAAAGCCGCUGGCCCAACCACGGGACUGCUUUGGAAACUGUGUUGCUGGAGUGCAGGAGGGGUAAGCGGAAUGCCUAGUGUAGCGGUGAAAUGCGUAGAUAUUAGGAGGAACACCGGUGGCGAAGGCGGCUUACUGGACUGUAACUGACGUUGAGGCUCGAAGGCGUGGGGAGCAAACAGGAUUAGAUACCCUAGUAGUC
rnacentral:rRNA from 1 species